UGGGUCUUUGCGGGCGAGAUGA
rnacentral:miRNA from 20 species